rnacentral:lncRNA from 1 species
CCUUCCCUUCCUCCCUCCUCAGGUUAGCCCCUCCCUCCUCCAGAAACCAUAGUUGGCCCUGCCCGAGGAACCCGAGAGGUAGGAGCGAAGCUUCCCGAGCCCUCGGCCAGCCGAGGGCCGUUUGCCCUGGGCCACAGGUGCCCUGGCAACGGCCGCCGCUACCACGGGGCGGGGCUGUGACGUCAGAGGAUGGCUCGCGGACUUGGAAGGGGUUGGGGAGGAGUGAGGCACGAGCAAAGGCUUCUUGGUUGACGUUAGUUCUUUUUUGAUUGAUCUUCAAUUAAAUCCUUCCACGUCUUUGCAACCUUUCUUGACGCCUCUGGCAUAGAGUAACAGAUUAACAAGAAGCAAAAAUCCCAUCUGUGCCAUUUAAUUGCCAUGAGACCAUGUUCUUUUCCCCUGUGCAGGGCCUCAGUUUCCUAACCUGCAUUGUAGGGGAGAGUUAGACUAGAAAGACCAUUCCAACUCAAAAUUCCAUUAGCCAACUGUUUGCCAUCCAUCCACACAUAUCGUCAGCCCAUGAAGGGGGAGAACCGGGCCAGUGGUAACCAUCCCCCCCAAAUUACCAGCUCAUUUUCAUUAUGUUGCCACACAAAGCCUGUUUCACUUUUGUCUUUCUAUUUCCUGGGCCCAGCAUAAGGACUGGCAUUUUAAGGACUCUCCAUGUCUUCAGCUCUCAUUAUCACUACCAUGCCAACAGGAUCCUGGGAGUCCAGGUUCAAAGAACCCAGAAAAGGAGGUUAGUGGAGUGUGACUUGUUUUUUUCUUUUCUCAUAAAUUCAAUGAACAUUUAAUUAAGCAUGGACUACAUGCAAGGAGGUAUGCUAGGCGUUAAUGAGACAAAGUAAAAACCCAAACAAUUCUUCACUUUAUAUUCUGCUGUCCUUUAUAUUGAUACAAAUACAAAAGUGAUACAAUUCCUGCACUCAAGGAACUUAUAUUGUAUUAAUAGAUAAUAAAAUAUUACUAUGUCCUAU